CACGUAGGGGCCAAGCGUUGUCCGGAUUCAUUGGGCGUAAAGAGCUCGUAGGCGGUUCAGUUAGUCGGGUGGGAAAUCUCCGGGCUCAACCCGGAGGGGCCACCCGAUACUGCUGUGACUUGAGUCCGGUAGGGGAGUGGGGAAUUCCUGGUGUAGCGGUGAAAUGCGCAGAUAUCAGGAGGAACACCGGUGGCGAAGGCGCCACUCUGGGCCGGUACUGACGCUGAGGAGCGAAAGCGUGGGUAGCAAACAGG
rnacentral:rRNA from 1 species